GGGAAAUUUUUACGGUGCUUGCUCCACCGGAAAAGAGGAGUGGCGAACGGGUGAGUAACACGUGGGUAACCUGCCCAUCAGAAGGGGAUAACACUUGGAAACAGGUGCUAAUACCGUAUAACAAUCGAAACCGCAUGGUUUUGAUUUGAAAGGCGCUUUCGGGUGUCGCUGAUGGAUGGACCCGCGGUGCAUUAGCUAGUUGGUGAGGUAACGGCUCACCAAGGCGACGAUGCAUAGCCGACCUGAGAGGGUGAUCGGCCACAUUGGGACUGAGACACGGCCCAAACUCCUACGGGAGGCAGCAGUAGGGAAUCUUCGGCAAUGGACGAAAGUCUGACCGAGCAACGCCGCGUGAGUGAAGAAGGUUUUCGGAUCGUAAAACUCUGUUGUUAGAGAAGAACAAGGAUGAGAGUAACUGUUCAUCCCUUGACGGUAUCUAACCAGAAAGCCACGGCUAACUACGUGCCAGCAGCCGCGGUAAUACGUAGGUGGCAAGCGUUGUCCGGAUUUAUUGGGCGUAAAGCGAGCGCAGGCGGUUUCUUAAGUCUGAUGUGAAAGCCCCCGGCUCAACCGGGGAGGGUCAUUGGAAACUGGGAGACUUGAGUGCAGAAGAGGAGAGUGGAAUUCCAUGUGUAGCGGUGAAAUGCGUAGAUAUAUGGAGGAACACCAGUGGCGAAAGGCGGCUCUCUGGUCUGUAACUGACGCUGAGCUCGAAAGCGUGGGGAGCAAACAGGAUUAGAUACCCUGGUAGUCCACGCCCGUAACGAUGAGUGCUAAGUGUUGAGGGUUCCGCCCAUCAUUGCCUGCAGCCUACGCAUUAGGCACUCCGCCUGGGGAUACAGACCGCAGGUGAACCCUCCAAAGGGAAAAU
rnacentral:rRNA from 1 species